CACAGAUGGAACCAGUUUUGCAAAUUAAACUGCUCUUGUUGGCACUGCUGUGAGCAGAGGGUUUAGACUAGAUGCUCUUCCGAGGACCCUUCCAAAUGAUUCUGUGAUCUGCCAACCACUAAGAAACCAGGACUGCUGUACCUCAGGUUCAGUACCUCCAUCAGGAUAUUUGAAGACAGAGGUGCUGGUCCUCUCACAGGAGGAAUGGGUCAUGUUGUGACAAGGAUCUGUAGCAGACUAUGCUUCUGUGCUCUCUGGUUUCUUGCUGAAGGAUUAGGGGGGGCUUCAAAAUCUCAAAGUUACCUUGAACAUCACCAAUUUUUCAACAUAUGUUAUGCAUAAGGUGGUUCAAAUUAAGAAAGAGGCUGGACUGGAUUACAACUAACAGAUCCCUGUAGAACUGGUUCCAGGUGUGGAAGUGAACAGAGAAAACAGAUGGAACAAAGGCUGCUUUUUGGGGAUCCGAGAAGAACAAGGGUUCAGAUCUCCCACAGGACUGAGGCACCUAGAUAAUUUUGGCAAUCUUGGCUAGCCAGGAGAUGGUAUGCAGUGUGAAGUGCUACAAUAUGUUAUGGAAGGCAAAAUGGCAGAAUCUUGUCUGGAGUAACAUUCUGGGAUAGUGCUGAAUUUAUAAACCAUUCAUGCCUUUCCACAAAAAGGCAUGCAAAGGGACAGAAGUGUACUUAGCUGAACCACGAACAGCCUACUCCAGCGAUACCUUGAUUUGCUCAUGCUGAUACCAUCUGCAAGGAGAGGGUGUUGGAAAUGAGACCAAAGCAUUUUGCAAAAAGAAAGAAGAAAAAAAAAAAAAAGCAUUCGUCAACUUGCAAGCAAUAUAACUUCUGGUAUUUUCCCUUCAAAUUAAAAACACUUGUCAGGCAGAUUUCCAGCGUAGCGUGUGGUGAGUUUGUAGCAAGAUUAUGAUGAACAUAAAGAAAACACUGUCAAGUUCAGUUCAGCUCUAUAUCUGGGGUUUGGGGAAAAAAAAAAAAAAAAAAGUAAAACACACACACACACACACAAAAAAAAAAAAAAGAAAAAAGAAAAAGGAAAGAUUUAUGGCUGGUGUGCUUUUUUAACAGUAAUGAAAACGGUUAAGGAGAACAAGAAUGCCAGCACGUCUUGCAGGGUGACCAUUGACCAUGAGCCAUACUGUGGCUGUGUUGGUGCUGAGGUUCCCCAGCCACAGUAUGGAGCAUCUCCUGGGGCUCAGACCGCAUCAAAGCCUACGUGACCCAGCACAGAUCUGGGACAUAUUGCUUUCUCUGGUGUUACCUUUGCUCCCCCACCAAACAAACAAACAAACAAAGGUAUUCUAUAGGCACCUGUCUAAAAUCAUGGCUUAAAAAAGCAGCUGUUUGAGUCAGAGAGGAACCAGGGAGGGGGGCAAUGCAAGCAUAAGAUGUGAGAGCUCUUUAAUAACAAUCAAAUAUUCAAAUAUUUUUAUCCCAGCUCUCAUCCUCAGGCUAUGAGUCUGCUGUGCAGGUGGCACUACCCAUGUCUAACAGCACGGCAAGUCCCCAAAACAUGGAAUUGCCUGGUGAGGAGACCCACAGGUGGGAAGUGGCCAGGGUUUGGAGAGACACAAAGUGUUUUUUUAAUCAGGAAAUGCCAGCAUUUUAAACCCAUAGCUUCCAGUGAAAUUAUGUUGGUGAGAGGCAGAAGAGAGGUUGGUGGGGAGAAGAACCCAUCUCUCCACCCCAGGGGUGGUUGGAGACCUCACCCAGUCUCCUUAAGCAUUUUCCAGGUUUCCUCUGUAAAAAUAGUGAAUGAUGGCUUGGGUUGUAUAAGUGGGUUAAAAUAAAUUCAAGUCCAUUUUUAACGACCUGGGCCCUUCCAGUCAAUAACUCUAUGACCAUCCUGUAAUCAAGCAUGGCUAUUUUAAAAGCUGACAGCUCCGGUGGGGCAGAGGCAGGCAUCAAUUCAGCCACUGUACCUUCCCCAGUCCCUGCCGAGCAUCCCGAGGUGGGCCAGGGAUGCGCUAAUUAAAAGAAAAUACAGCAGCCUCCAAAAACAGGAUGCUACAAAAAGGGCAUGAAAGAAUCCACUGCAUAACCAUGUGAGUAAUUUAAAAGACAAACUCGGAGUCCUGGCAUGGUGAGAGCCAAAUGUUCCUUUUCCUGUCAUCAAAUGUUAUUUACUCUAAUGUGCAAACAAUGAACAGAAGCUUUUUUUUCCCCUCCCGAACUGUGUGAAUUACUGUUUAAAAGAGUUUUCCAGUGCUGCUGAUCAAGUCCACACACAGAGUUAAAACACAGCCCGCCACACUGUGGCAUUUAUUCCUCCUCAUACCUGAAACACUUCCUCACUGGAGGCCACAGACUAAGUUUCUUCUCUUUGCAUGUUGAAGAGAGUCUUUUGUCUUCCUAGCACGCACUAUCAAUCUGAUCAUUUAAAGACUACAUGCACUAGUCAAUUCACCCCCCUGAAACUGAAAGUGUAUUCAGAAGAGCUUAGCAAUAGCAGUAAAAGAAAUGUUUCACUCAAGCUGUUAAUUAUAUCCAGGACAGGCUGGGAAAUUCUUCACAAUAAUCGUGAAUGUUAAGAGCUUGAAAAAUAAGCUGCUCAGGAUAGUCUCCUGCAAUUAGCACCAAUGUGUGUGAUUGAGAAUCAUGUAUGCCAACAGCCACCCUAUUACUCGACAAAUCAAGACAUUAAAAACCAGCUCAGUGGGAUGCAGUUCUGCUUAUCUGGCUCAUACUUGAGAUAUUAUGGAGAGCAGCCUGGAAAUAAUAAUAAUGAAGAGUGUGAUCUGUUGUGUUACCACUCUGAAGGUCACUUGAAGGCGAUCAUUUCAUGCAGCAUUGCCAAUAGAAUGUGUUUAUAUUCUGUUGCAGACUCAACAAUAUCAAGGCUAUCAUGUUUUGGAUGGUGUUUUAAUGGCAGCGAAGAAGUUUUUAUUUUGCAGCAGAAGCACCAUAAAAAUGUAACAAAAAAAAAAAAGGUGACUUCUGUUUUCGUUCUUGAACAUGCUGCACCUUUUAAGGUUACAUGCCGAUCUCCUUAAAGCCAGCAGCAAACCCCCCCCGACUUUCACAGUAAACCUCCUUCCACUUUUCUCGGAUACUCUGAAUAUUUGUACUGCUACUCUCAAAUAUAAAUUAUUUUGUUAUGUAUCCAGUCCCAGUCUUAUGUCUGAUUCUCUGCAUUAAACUUGUGAAUAAAACAGCCUCUGA